UGAUCUUUGGAUAGAGAAACACAAAGAAAUUCAAGACUCAAAAACCAAACUUAUAGUUCAGAAACCUGAGCUGCUGAUAAUGAGGGUGGUUAACAUAGAACGGAAAUCUGGAGAUGGAUCCUUUAGAAGAGUUGACUAUGGUAUAUCUGGAGAAGAGAGCCUCCUGUUGUGAUCGAUUACCUCUGCUGGGACACUCCUUAAGACUGGAAGCAAAUAACUCAAAAUAGCUUCAAGAAGUCCCUGAAACUGACCACCAGGGCUCUUUCUCCCAAGUGUGUAUAAGCAAUAAAGCCUGCUGAGAGACAUUCUCAGAGCAGUUGAGCUACAAAACAGACUCUCAGACCUAUGGAGCUGCUUGGAAGAUGCCCAGGCCUAGCAUCCUGGAAGAGAUAGGCCAAUAACCCGGAAGAAGCAGAGAUCAGGAGAACUAUGUCAAAGAAGAAAGGAAACACUGGGAAAGGAAACUCUGACUUGUUGAGCUACCUGUAGACUGCUCUUUGUGGUCCAGGUUUCUGGCUUUUAUGAACUGUCAUCCAUGCUAGGGUGGGCUUUGAUGAUAUAACUGUUUGGAGGUGAUUUCUGCUUCUGUAAGUGACCCCUCUCACCCAUAUUCCCAUAAGUCACUUUCCUAGUAAACUUUGUGAUACUCCCUAAACCAGCACCUGGCCCUCACCAAGUCCUCCCCCCAACCCCCCAUUCCUCUUGUCUUUCUUCUUUGACAUUACUGAGUUUCCUCUCUCUCCACAUCCUCUACAGAAGUACCGGGAAGCUCAGGCUUCCUCUUUGCUAUGCAUAUCCAUCCUGGGGUGAUAAGUCCUGCUCUGUCUUCCCUGACAAAUGGCUCUAGGCAGAGUAAUAUAUUUCUGGGAAACGUUAUUCGGUGCCUUACCUCUUUCCAACAUUUUUAGCCCUUGACUUAGAAUGAAGAAUGACCAUGUACAUUGAGCUGCUGUUGGCUUUCCAACUGACAGAAGAAAUACGCUGGGGGAAUCUCCUAUUGUCUGGGAUGUUAAAAGAGGUUAGCAGAGGUGAUUUCUACUGGGAAUCUGCUUCCAUUUCCACAGAUAUACCUCGUCUUUGGAGAGCGCUGUGAAGUUGGGGGAAAACCUCUCCAGAUCCUGAAUCAGAGAAGCCACUAGUAAAGAACCUUCUCAUAUAUCCCUCUUCUCAUUCUGCAGGUGAAAAAUACAAAGCCCAGCAGAAGGCGCUCCGGCAAUACAAGCCCUGCAUUUGUCUCCUGCCAGUGCCUCAGUCAGGAAGGGAAGGACAGCUUUUCUAGAGGACAGGAAAGAAGGGCUGGGGGCCCUGUGAACCAGAGGUGAAGCUUGAGGAUGGAUCCAAGGAUUCUUUCUCUGGUCACCUUCCCCAGCAGCAAGUGACUGCACACAGCCUUGGAAGCCACGAUUUGUCCCCGUCGCUCUGACCAGCCAGUAAGCACUGGGAGCACCACCAAGGUACAGAGGUGUCCGGAAGGGCCUACCUUCUGAGCAGGCCUCGCCUCCUUUGCCCAGGUUGCAAUGGCAUCGUGAGCCUCCCCAGGCGUAGUCAUUGACACAGAAGCUGUCAGCUGAACAGAGGGUUUCGUCACAGGACAUGUCAAAGAGCCUUGACAUCACGGCCACACUGUUCUUCCCCUUCCGUUGGGCUGGCGUGGGUGGCACAGCCACUGUAGUUUCAGGGAGAGAUGCUGAGACAUUGAGAUCUACUUUACUAAGGAGUGAACUGAGGCUUGGAGAGCCCGUGGAAGGUUCCAGAAGAGGGAAGUCAUCGUACAGAGCUCAUGACACUGCACAGCAGCCUCUCAGCAGCAUUCCAAACUUCCAGUCUUUGACAGUGAUGCAGAUUAUGCAGAUUUCAUGCUCACCGAGAAGGAAAUAAAUACAGAUAAAACCAGGCCCUGUGUGACUGCAGGAGGCCUGGGACGUGAAAGCCAUCGUUCUUUUGAAUUGUCUCCUCCUUCUCACACCCAUGAAGCUUCCACCAAUUUUGUAGGCCGUGCAUUCUAUGCUACUGAUAAGAAUUCUCUAAGUGCCCUGGGGUUGUUGUAAUUAAAGUACAUAACUUAUCUCUUUCUACUUGGCACUUUGUUAAUUAAGAAAAGAGAACAUUAAAAACCAGACACUUAUUAGAAUCAUAAUAGUCAAACCACAUACUGAAUGCAAAACAAAUUCUGGGAUAUUCCACAUUAAGGAAAAAAAAAUACAAAUCUUGUUGGUCAACAAAAGGAUGCCCUUUAUUUUAUAAAGUUCAUAUAUGUCUGAGUUUUUAAAGACAUUAUGGUUUUCCUGCACAUUGUUUCUCUGAUGAGCAAUAUGAUAUAGUUGGAAAUAUCUGUGGUCAUGUGAGCUGGACAUAAUACUUCCAUUGUUAGGAAAGUCAUUUAAUCUUGUAAGAGCCCAUGAGUCUCAACAAAAUAAGGAAUGAGGGUUGGGGAGAUACUUAAAUCAAGAAAGUGCUUACCACAUGAACAUGAGGACCUGAGUUUAAUUUCCAAAAUCCAUAGAAGAAAAAGUUAGAAAUGGUGGUGACCACUUGUAAUUUGGGUACUGGGAAGGCAGAGAUUGUCAGAUCUUUGAGGCUCAUUGGACAGUCAACUAAGGUGACUUGGUGAGAUCCAGGUUCCAGAGAGAGAUUGUCUCAAUGAAUAAACUGGACAGUGUAUAUAAAA